AAAUAAAAACUAUAUACACUUUCCUGAAAGCCUACCUUUUUAUAACAGACAAAUCCUUCCGAUUCUGUGAAUAAAUAGGCGAAUGGUAAAAACACGAAGAGAGAUAAAUUGGAAAAGAGGAAAACAUGGUUCCAAAGUCCUACAACAUAAAAGUAUAAUAUUUCAGUGUUUUCAAAUUCAUGGACUAAAGACAUGAGCAAAUGGAGUAAGAUAGUUGAUCAAAUAAGGUUUCACCUUGUAUGAGAGAACUAUUAAGCCACUUGACGUAAUAGCUAUUAGGAUACAAUAUGAGAACCUCAUUGCUAGCGAUGGACACAGGUAGUAACAACGUUGCUCCAAUAGAUACUGCUAAAGCAACGGUACACAAUAAAAGACUGAUCCUAUAAACUGUGGCAUCAUCUUCAUCUACCGAAAAAUAAUCUUCUCGCUCCCUUCGACGAAAUCUCGCAAUCAGUGCAUAGCUCGAAAUGCAAAGUAGAAGGAAGAGAAGGAGGAAUAUCUAAAGAGCAAAGAAAAUAAAAAAUAUUAAAAGGGAUCGAAAAAAUGUUAUACAAACGCAUUGUAUAAAAUUGACGCAAAGCGGAUCAUUUAACGAGCAUUUUUUGAAGCAACCACAACGGUUUGCAAGCAAAGUGACAAAACUUCUGGAUAUGCUUACUUUUACUGAAAUACAGAAUAAAUGGGCUCAAAACCGUAUUAAAACAUUAUAAUUUUUAUCACUAAUGAUGGUUAACGAUCAUUGAUGACGUUUGUAUUGAAAAUGAAGCAAUCUUAUGUAUUUUCAUAAAGAACAAAUGAUAAGAUAAGAAAUAAGAAUACGGUGAGACACGAACGAAAUCAUCUACGUUUAAGUUCACGAAAGUAACACUAUCAUUAAUUUUUCUUAUGUUGAAAGCUAUUAAUCUUUCUUAUUAUGGAAAAAAUUGACAAAUUUCUAUCUUUUUGUAAAUGUGAAUUUUCAGUCGUAUCUAUUAUUUCUUUAAGUGUGACAAAAUAUUCUCCAUGCUCCAUACUUAAACAAAAAUGAACAGUUUAAAUAUGCUAUUAAGCAAAAUUUGCUAAAUAAGUAAAAAAGAAAAGUUUAAAUACGCUAUUGGGGCAAAGAAAAAGAUAACGUUAAAUAUUAAAAAAACAGUUCGAGUAAAAGAGAUGCAUUUGUACUUUUCACGAUACUUUCCUAAUAUAAUAUAAAAGUUCAUAUGGUUGUUCAAAUGUGCGAUUAAAAUCAAUGUUAUUACAAAUGAAUAAAAAGAAAAGAAAAAAAACAGCAACAAUGCUUAAACCACGAUUUUCUAAACUUUUAAUUUUUAUAACUUUACUUUUUUUCUAUAAUACUUCUUGUAGGUCACAAGAACAGGGACGCAUGACUCAUCUAAUGUAAUCUAUAAAAUAUUAAAGAACCUACAGUAAAUAUGUAGGUCAAGUACGUGUGACAAGUUAAUAAAUAAACUAAAAAAUCUAACCGUAAGAGCGGUUAGAUUUGGAUAAAACGUUUAAGAGCACGAAUACGUAUGAAAUUAACUGCACUUUAUAGAUAGUAAACAUUUUCCUACAUUUAUUCUUCGUAAUCUCUAUGCAACCCGUAUGUAAUUUACGGAAAUCAUCUAAAUCCUCACUAAAGUAAAUACAUUUCAAUAGCGAACAUUGCCCCGAUUAAUGCCAAAAGCGAACGAUCAGCUAUGCCAAAAGCUACUUAUGCACGAGAGCGAUAUCUAUUUACGAACGCAAAUUAUUACAUGCGAUAUUCUAUUUCAGGGCUCGCAUUUUCUAAUCUUACGUCCUCCUUAUCCUAUCAACCAUUUUUCUCCAGUCUCUUUCAAAUUUAACAUUCGAAAUACAAACUAUGUACAAAAAAAACUAUGUAAAAAAAAUUAGUAUCCAAAAAUAUUUUAUGCGGUCGAUAGAGAUUCUUUUCAUAAAUUCUUUUCAUCAUUCAAAACGAACAUUGAGAAUGUCAUACGUUCGAAAACGUGAAUCCAUGUCGCGAAACUUCAUCAAGCACGAAACUCGAUUAUUUCCUCUCUCGACCUUGUUGCCUGAUUAGCUUCACUGAUAGCCGAUUCAAACAACAAAUGUACUUAUAACUAAAAAUUGAAUUUUAUCGAUUAAAAGAUCCGACGUUUGUACCGAUUAGUUGUCGAUACUAUUGAUUUCAAACGAGUCUCUUUUAUAAGUAUAGCGAAUAUUCAAUGUAAAUCUACUGUUACUCUCUCUUAUUAAUGAAAAUACUAACAAAAAAUAAAAAUAAUAUAAAUAUAAGUUAAAUAAAGAAUAAUUCUAAAGAAAUGACCCUAUAGAAAUUGUUUUGUAAUAAUUAUUUUGAGAAUUUUCUUCGACUAUUGCUGAAUAAUGUAAUCGUCAAAAAUAAGAAAAUAUCAUACUUAACAAGAUAACCUCAUAAAGAGUAUAAGAAAGUUAUAACCUCGAUACUAAAUACAUUUACGAUACGUGUUAAUACAAGUACUUGAUUCUUAAAAUGUGUUGAAAAAUUAGUAAAUGAAUAAAACGUAAAAUAUCUUUGUCUGUUCAUCUUCUCUUUCGUUUCAGUGCCAAUGUGUACACGACGACCAUGAGCGUAACGCAGCGCAGACUUGGUUCAGAGAAAAAAAAGAGAGAGAGAGAUCAUAUUAAGAAUAAUUACGGAUCUAUUUUCGUAUUAAGAAUCGAUGACAACAAAUAUCUUGAUUUCUAUAAACAUAGCGUUACAUCGUUGCGAUCACUUUUUUUCAAACGCGUUUCGCAGAAACUUUGUUUUUUAAACCGCAUCCCUGACGUCAAAGAGAAAGCUCACGUAUCGUUGGCAACAGCGCUGUUUCAUUCAGUGUGAAAUUUAAUCUUGUUGCACAACUGGAGGAAAUGAAAAAGCAGAGACAUUACGAAUCAUUAACACGUAGAUAUUAUAAUGUCAUAAUAUAUCGUAUUCAGGUGUAUAUAUAUAUAUGUGUACAAACUUAACCGCUUAACGAGUAUAUAUAUACGGAGCAAAAAUGGAAUAUUGCGAAUCUCUAAUAUAAAUUCAACUUAAGAAUUUAAGUGUACAUCAUGGCUUCCUCAAGAAGAAACAGUUUAAACCAUCCAAAUGUCUUUUGCUACUUGCAAAAGUCUGUGGUUAUUGCAUUUUGAAAGAAAUUAAAAAACCUAUCCCUGAAUUUGUGAAGAGGGCAUAUCUUAGUUAUUUUCAUGUCAAGCUUGGAGAUCAAGGUUUAGAAGGAAUCCAAAGAUCCUCAUUCAGACUGCUAUUUUUGUCUUGUCAACAUCAAGAACAUCAAACCAAACAAUCGUAGCAAGUAGACAUAACCAGACCUAGAUUAAACAAGGUAACCUCAGCCACACCCAAAUGAAGUACUUAUUCUAUUUUUCAUUCACCUAUCAGAACUUCUAGAGGAUGAUAAAUCACACAUGUUUGAUGAAAUACAAGAUAACAUAAAUGAACAGUUAUUUUAUAGGAAAUUCAUCCAAAUUUUAACAAUUUAACCAACAUGAACUGAUCGACAUAAUGUGAGAUCUGAAUUUCUCAAAGAAAUCUUUUUAAUUGCUAAUAUCCAAAUUUUCAAAGAAAAGAAUUUAUUUUAAUGAUACUGUUUUUCGUAGAUCUCACGCUAGAAAGUUCUAUGCAAGAAACUUUUUAUACGUUGAAUAAUUGAUCAUAUUAUAUACUCAACUGAUUUAAUAUGUGACAAUAUGUAAUCAGUAAUAAUAAUUUCACUAAUUUUUUCGAAUUAUAUAGAAACAUAGCAGAUCAUAUAAUUAAAGAUGCUGAAUUUUUAUAGACGAUCUGUUGAAUUUGUAUAUGAAACUGUUAUGCCGUAUUUCCAAAACUGUAACUGAUAAAAUAAAACUAUUGCUAUUUUUGAAAUCAAUACCUCCAAAAAAACUCAAGAAUUGGUCUUUGUAUAACAUUUUAGGCACCAAAAUGUAUUGGACAGUGAUAUAAAUACUGAUGAUAUUAACGAAUUUUAUUGUAAUAGGUGUAAAUUUUCAACACAGCCGAUAAAUACGAUAAUUUGCGGUUUGAAUAUUAUUCGUUAAAUGUGCUGUGAAAUAUUUUUUAAACGUUACAAAGAAUUCAAAUGUCUAUAUGAAUAUCCGAUAUAGCAACUUCUUUAAAAUAGAAGAAAAUAAUUUUUUUAUUGCUAUACUUUAUUUGCGACAUGUUAUCAAAUUUAAUAAAUUAAAUUUCAAUUCAAUGACAAUUAAAAAUGUAUCGAUUUAAAUCUUUUUGAUGAAUUUGUAAAUAUGCUAGUAAUAAUUUUAUUAUGACAUAUAGCUUAAAUAUAUAGACAUAGGGGCCGUAACUAUUGAAUUUAAUUAUAUUAUCUUACAGAGCUUUAUAAGACAAUUUAAAUUACAAAUAUUAUCAUUUAUAGCUCAUACAAAUAUAUACUUAAUACGCAAAUACUGUUAAGAAUUAAUGCUAUAUAUUAUUUAUGUUUCUGUUUUAUAAAUUUCAAAGUAUAAUCAUUUUACACGAAUUAAGCAAUCUUCAUAAAAUUUUGUAUCGUAAAACUGUUAAUUGAAUAUGUACAGAGAUAUAAAUAGUUUCCAAGGCAACUAGGACUUAUAUUCAUGAUUAUUACGUCUUUUUGACGUAUAGUGUAUUUCAUUUGGUAUUAAUAUGCCUUCGAUAUUUAAAUAUUCAAUUUUCGUAGUUUCAUUAACAAGAAAAUCAACGGUUAAGGCAAUUUACAAAACAGAAUCUUUUGCAAUUAGAUUCAGAUAAAAUAAUAUACAUUUUUGUACAAUAUUAUUACUGUCUAGACUGAUGUAUAUAUAAUGAAUUUUCUUAAUUAUAACCGAUAUAAUGAAAUUUGAUAAAUGACGCCAUACGUUAAUUGAAAAUUAAUGCUAUUGUUAAUUACGAUAGUAACAAAAGUGGUACAUAAUCAAAUUAUUAAUUUAUUAUAUUUGUACAAUAGCAUUUCUUUACGUUGCGUAAUCGGCUAUAGAGGUAGGCGAAUGGUUAUCAGAGAAUAAUUCAAACUGUCGGCGUGUUAAUAUGAGAAUGCGGAAGUUGGAUGGAAUGAUGAGAACCAGA